GCUUUCGUUAAUUUAGUCGCUGUAAGAGGAACCAAACCGUACAUAACUACCUGUGACGAUGAGGGCGAUGAUGCUGUUGAUGCUGUUGAUGCUGGCAUUGGUCACUCUGUCUGGUACCUCGACGCUGCCAUGCUAUACCAGAGGAUCAAAGUGCUGGAUUUUUGGAUUUGGAAAAUUAUUUUCCCAUAGUUGCUGUCCAGGUCUGACGUGUCUACCUAGCCAUUCUAGUCCCAGGGUCUACAGAUGCAUGUCAUUUGAUGUCUUGUUCUGACAUCUGUAGCGGUCGACGGUUUAUGCGAGUAUAAAUUACAGAUGUUUUACUGCUUGGACUUGACAUCUCCACCUGCCGAACCUCUAAGCAAG